AGCUGAGCAAAAACAAAAUUCCAACCGCUUUAACAGAACUGGACCCAACCUGCAAUACCGAAUCCCUUAACAGAACCAGCAACCCUUCCAACCCUCGGAUCAACAAAAAAGAACGGUAACCGUUAUCAACUCAGACCCGGAAUUUUCAGAUUCUUUAACAGAAAUUCUUCAAUAACUUUCGCGAAAGGCCCUGCAGAACGACCCGACAUAACAAUACAACACCUUUAAAACUGAGGAUUUUCUAACCUCCUUCACGAC
rnacentral:lncRNA from 1 species